CCUACGGGAGGCAGCAGUGAGGAAUAUUGGUCAAUGGCCGGAAGGCUGAACCAGCCAUGCCGCGUGAAGGUCAGUGCCCUAUGGGCGUUAAACUUCUUUUGUGCGGGAGCAAUAAUGGUCAUGUGUGGCCAGACGAGAGUACCGUACGAAUAAGCAUCGGCUAACUGCGGGCCAGCAGCCGCUGGAAUACGGGGGGUGCAAGCGUUAUCCGGAAUUAUUGGGUUUUAAGGGUGCGUAGGCUGGGAGGUAAGUUAGCGGGGAAAUGCCCCCGCGCAACGGGGUGAAGUGCCUUUGAUACUGCCUUGCUGGAGUGCGGAUGCGGUGGGAGGAAUGUGAGGUGUAGCGGUGAAAUGCGUAGAUA
rnacentral:rRNA from 1 species